UCCGGGGUAGCUCAAUGGUAGAGCAAUGCGCUGUUAACGCGGAGGUUACAGGUUCGAGUCCUGUCCCCGGAGCCA
rnacentral:tRNA from 3 species